UACAGAGGUCCCAAGCGUUGUUCGGAUUCACUGGGCGUAAAGGGUGCGUAGGCGGUUGGGUAAGUCUGUCGUGAAAUCUCCGAGCCUAACUCGGAAACUGCGUCGGAUACUAUUCAACUCGAGGAAUGGAGGGGAGACUGGAAUUCACGGUGUAGCAGUGAAAUGCGUAGAUAUCGUGAGGAACACCAGAGGCGAAGGCGGUUACCUGGACAGUUACUGACGCUCAGGCACGAAAGCGUGGGGAGCGAACAGG
rnacentral:rRNA from 1 species